rfam:Myotis brandtii contig153593, whole genome shotgun sequence.
GGCAGUUCUCAGGUGACACACCCCGGAAUUGGGCUCCCUUCUCUCUGGUUCCAGGUGCAUCACCCGAGAACCGCA